UGUCUUUACUUUGCCCUUAAGCUCUCUCCUUCCAGCUCCAAAUGCCAAAAGCUGGUGACUAAGGAAGGCCCAGAAAUAGACCCGGGAAGUGGCUUAUAAAGCAGAGGAUCCAGCCCAGUCUUCUCAUCGCAAAGAGGACACCCUUGAGACCCAGAGAGGACCGGCCUUCCUGGAGUCAAUCUGGGGUCUCCGGAUGUCCGGCAGCAUCCCUCGGCCCUGCCCGCCCGCCAGGUCCAUCCCUCACGCCUCUGGCCCAAACAGAUCCCAUUCCAGCCCAAAGUCCAGUAACCCACCCGAAGGUCCAGAGAUGCUUACUCGGUAACUAACAGUGUGAGCUCUCCCUCGGGAACGUGACCCUGACUGAGGGCACCCAAGGGAGGGAGCUUUGGUCACUGAACUGGCAAACACAGUUCUUGUCUCUCUUCUUGGAAGGCCACGCCAUGCUGGGCUGCUGACUGUCAAGGACUGAUGGCCUGAGCUGGGCUCCCUUUGGGGCUUUUGGCGCCGCCUCUCCCAGAGGCCCUUCCUGAAGCUGCCUGAAGCAGGGUUGUUUCAGGACAGAAGAGCUCUCCCAGCGGCGAGCAUCCUGCUUGGCUUUUGGCCUACACCCAGGAGAAAAAGCCUGAAGGCUGCCUCCCUGGAGGGACGGUGGAGCUCCCUCCACCAUCGACCUGGCACUCUCCAUCCAGAAGCCCAAGAACUCUCCUCACUGGAAGCCCAGGCUCGGCAACACAGGCACGAGGAGAGCCAGGAGGCUCCUCCGCGAAUGAGGACUCUCUCGCCUUCAUUCAAAGAGCCUUUGCGAAGGGUUGACUAGAAGCCAAGGAUUGGGCCGGGUGCGGGAGACACAGGCAAGACCCAAGGGCUCCCCGUCCUCCCGAAGCUUUGAUUGUACUGGCUCGGGAGGGAGAAGCAGCAUGUACACAGAAGAGGAAAAAUGGCCUGUGUGCAAAACAGAGACGCUGAUCGCUGGAGAAUGGAGUGGGCAGCACUAAAAACUAGGGAAAUCCCAUAGUUCCAAGAGGACUCUGAACCAUGGGGCGCUACUCUAAGUUUGGAGGACUGAAUAGAUUUCUAGUGGGAAACUAGGCCUCACCAAAGGGUACAAGAGCUGUGUAUAUUGGGGUGCAACUAGGUGGCACAGAGAAUAAAGAGCUAUGCAAGGUCCUGGAUUCAAAUCUGACCUCAGACACUUCCUAGCUGUGUGACCCUGGGCAAGUCACUGAACUCCAAAAGUCUAGCCCUCACCACUCUUCUGCCUUGGAACCAUUACUUAGCAUUGAUUUUAAGAUGGAAAAGGAUUUAAACAAAAAGACAAAUUGAACCUAGCUGUGUGACCCUGGGUAAGUCAAUUAACCGGAAUUGACUCUUAUGACUCUUCUGCCUUGGAACCAAUAGACAGCAUUGAGUCUAAGAUGGAAGCAGUCGGUCAAGAUGCCCCGGAAUCCCCAGCAGCCCCAUUCCAGGAAAGAAGCCCUUAAGAAGCCCCAAGGUCUCCGAUGUCUACACUGCUAAGAGGAAAGGAGGAGGACCCCUGGGAUGUCAGCUUAAAGGUUGGUCUGAGUGUGUCGAUGAUCCGGCGCCCCCAGAUACUCCCUUCCUGUUCAGCCAGAGAGCUGGUGGCCACCCUGUCCUGGAUCUACAAGAUGGAGGCACAGGUGAAGCCGAGGACGACACCAGAUUUGGGCAGGCCACAGGAACAGAGAAUGACGGGCGAUCAGGAAGUUUUCCUCCUGGGAGACCGUCUGGUAAAAAUCCCCUUGCUGGAGGAAAAUCAUUGGCGUCCGAACCGGGGCUCUGCUUAGCCUGGUUCUGAUAGAGAUCUCCCUCCUGGACCGGACCUAAACCCCCAACCCCCAACCCCCAACCUUCCUUCUUCUUCCUUUAAAGAUCUGACUGCCACUGAAUAAACAACUAUUCAUUUGGGAUGGGAUAGCUAUGCUGGGGUUAGGGAAGAGGUUCAACAGGACUGAUGUUGGGUCCUUUCCGCUCAGGCCGACAGCCAAAGGGACCAGCUUGGAAGCUU